rnacentral:rRNA from 1 species
GGAAUAUUGCACAAUGGGGGAAACCCUGAUGCAGCGACGCCGCGUGAGUGAAGAAGCAUUUCGGUGCGUAAAGCUCUGUCAGCAGGAAAGAAAGUGACGGUACCUGACCAAGAAGCCCCGGCUAACUACGUGCCAGCAGCCGCGGUAAUACGUAGGGGGCAAGCGUUAUCCGGAUUUACUGGGUGUAAAGGGAGCGUAGACGGCGCGGCAAGUCUGAAGUGAAAGGCGGGGGCCCAACCCCCGGACUGCUUUGGAAACUGUCAUGCUUGAGUGCGGGAGGGGUAAGCGGAAUUCCUAGUGUAGCGGUGAAAUGCGUAGAUAUUAGGAGGAACACCGGUGGCGAAGGCGGCUUACUGGACCGUAACUGACGUUGAGGCUCGAAGGCGUGGGGAGCAAACA